rnacentral:rRNA from 1 species
AUUGAACGCUGGCGGCAUGCUUUACACAUGCAAGUCGAACGGUAACGGGCCGCAAGGUGCUGACGAGUGGCGAACGGGUGAGUAAUGCAUCGGAACGUGCCCAGUCGUGGGGGAUAACGCAGCGAAAGCUGUGCUAAUACCGCAUACGAUCUAUGGAUGAAAGCGGGGGACCGUAAGGCCUCGCGCGAUUGGAGCGGCCGAUGUCAGAUUAGGUAGUUGGUGGGGUAAAGGCUCACCAAGCCAACGAUCUGUAGCUGGUCUGAGAGGACGACCAGCCACACUGGGACUGAGACACGGCCCAGACUCCUACGGGAGGCAGCAGUGGGGAAUUUUGGACGAUGGGCGCAAGCCUGAUCCAGCAAUGCCGCGUGCAGGAAGAAGGCCUUCGGGUUGUAAACUGCUUUUGUACGGAACGAAACGGUCUGGGUUAAUACCCUGGGCUAAUGACGGUACCGUAAGAAUAAGCACCGGCUAACUACGUGCCAGUCGCCGCCGUAACAC